GGUGACUCAGUGGUAGAGUGCUUGCCUUGCAUGCAUGAGACCCUGGGUUCUAAUCCUCUGCACCA
rnacentral:tRNA from 1 species